rnacentral:rRNA from 1 species
AGCGAACGCUGGCGGCAGGCCUAACACAUGCAAGUCGAACGAAGUCUUCGGACUUAGUGGCGGACGGGUGAGUAACACGUGGGAACGUGCCUUUAGGUUCGGAAUAACUCAGGGAAACUUGUGCUAAUACCGAAUGUGCCCUUCGGGGGAAAGAUUUAUCGCCUUUAGAGCGGCCCGCGUCUGAUUAGCUAGUUGGUGAGGUAAAGGCUCACCAAGGCGACGAUCAGUAGCUGGUCUGAGAGGAUGAUCAGCCACAUUGGGACUGAGACACGGCCCAAACUCCUACGGGAGGCAGCAGUGGGGAAUCUUGCGCAAUGGGCGAAAGCCUGACGCAGCCAUGCCGCGUGAAUGAUGAAGGUCUUAGGAUUGUAAAAUUCUUUCACCGGGGACGAUAAUGACGGUACCCGGAGAAGAAGCCCCGGCUAACUUCGUGCCAGCCGCCGCUGUAACAC